rnacentral:rRNA from 1 species
GAUGAACGCUAGCGGCAGGCUUAACACAUGCAAGUCGAGGGGUAUAGUUCUUCGGAGCUAGAGACCGGCGCACGGGUGCGUAACGCGUAUGCAAUCUACCUUUUGCAGAGGGAUAGCCCAGAGAAAUUUGGAUUAAUACCUCAUGGUAUGUGAGAAUGGCAUCAUUUUCACAUUAAAGUCACAACGGCAAAAGAUGAGCAUGCGUCCCAUUAGCUAGUUGGUAAGGUAACGGCUUACCAAGGCAACGAUGGGUAGGGGUCCUGAGAGGGAGAUCCCCCACACUGGUACUGAGACACGGACCAGACUCCUACGGGAGGCAGCAGUGAGGAAUAUUGGACAAUGGGCGCAAGCCUGAUCCAGCCAUGCCGCGUGCAGGAUGACGGUCCUAUGGAUUGUAAAUUGCUUUUGUACAGGAAGAAACACUGGUUCGUGAACCAGCUUGACGGUACUGUAAGAAUAAGGAUCGGCUAACUCCGUGCCAGCCGCCGCUGUAAGAC